GACGAACGCUGGCGGCGUGCUUAACACAUGCAAGUCGAACGAAAAGGCCCUGCUUUUGUGGGGUGCUCUAGUUGCGAACGGGUGAGUAACACGUGAGUAACCUGCCCUUGACUUUGGGAUAACUUCAUGACACUUGGGCUCAUACCGGCUAGGAGCUCCUGCUGCAUGGUGGGGGUUCGAAAGUUUCGGCGGUUGGGGAUGGACUCGCGGCGUAUCAGCUUGUUGGUGGGGUAGUGGCUUACCAAGGCUUUGACGGGUAGCCGGCCUGAGAGGGUGACCGGACAAAUUGGGAUGGAGAUAAGGCACAGACUCGUACGGGAGGGAGGAGUGGGGAAGAGUGCAUAAGGGGCGGAAGGAUGGUGCAGCAAAGCCGCGUGCGGGAUGAGGGGAAUCGGGUUGUAUACCGAUUUCGCCUGUGACGAAGCGUGAGUGACGGUAAUGGGUAAAGAAGCACCGGCUAACUACGUG
rnacentral:rRNA from 1 species